GAUGAACGCUAGCGGGAGGCCUAACACAUGCAAGCCGAGCGGUAUUGUUUCUUCGGAACUGAGAGAGCGGCGUACGGGUGCGUAACACGUGUGCAACCUGCCUUUAUCUGGGGGAUAGCCUUUCGAAAGGAAGAUUAAUACUCCAUAAUAUAUUGAACGGCAUCGUUUAAUAUUGAAAGCUCCGGCGGAUAGAGAUGGGCACGCGCAAGAUUAGCUAGUUGGUGAGGUAACGGCUCACCAAGGCGAUGAUCUUUAGGGGGCCUGAGAGGGUGAGCCCCCACACUGGUACUGAGACACGGACCAGACUCCUACGGGAGGCAGCAGUGAGGAAUAUUGGUCAAUGGGUGCAAGCCUGAACCAGCCAUCCCGCGUGAAGGACGACCGCCCUAGGGGUUGUAAACUUCUUUUGUAUAGGGAUAAACCUACGCUCGAGAGGGUAGCUGAAGGUACUAGACGAAUAAGCACCGGCUAACUCCGUG
rnacentral:rRNA from 1 species